UUCAAACAUUUCUGUCAUCCAGCUGCUGUGUCUCUCCAGUCCAGCAGGUGUCGCUGUUUGCCCCCUUCUCUUUGUUCUCAGCUCAUUUAAACUGUCCUCGACCCGGAACUGAGUGUUUUUAGUCGACUUUCGUUUUAAGUCGUCAUUUAAACAGAACAGGAUCAAAAUAUUUCGAGAUGACCAGAGCAGCAGACCUUCUGUAAGAUUAAAGCAGGAAGCGACUGAGAGCGCCGCUGAUAUCCAGCCAGUGGAGACCGUGGUCGGCAUGAGGGGAGAGACCGAACCAGUGAAGCUGGAGGAAGAGAAAAUGAAGCAGCAGCAAACAGCAACAGAUGUCCAGCAACUUUUAAUGGUUAAAGAAGAGUUUCCUGCUGAGCAGCAGAACUGGUGCCCCGGUCUGGACCAGGAUGACCCACCAGAUGUCCGGCAGAUUAAGGAGGAACAGGAGAAACUCUGGACCUGUCAGGUGGAAGAGCUACCAGCCGGUCCUGUUCCUGUGAAGAGUGAAGAUGAUGAAGGUCAGCAACUUUGUAGAGCCACUCAGCCUCCAGACAGCAGUUUGACUCAACACAUGAAAACAGAAUUUGAUGAAGAUGACCUCCAAGGAUCAGAAUCACAUUUACAAGACACGAUCAAGACUUCUCACUCUUCUGAAUCGGAGACUGAAGACAGUGAUGGUUAUUGGGAGGAGCUCAGGGAUCCUCAAUUGGAUUUAAAUGCCCUAAAUAAUAGUGUAAUCCCAUUGAACAACUUGGGAGAUGGAAGCGCUACAAAAUCAUACAGUUGUUCUGACUGUGAGAAGCGAUUUACCCACAAGGGGACUAUGCAGAGGCACAAGAGAUGUCACACCGGAGAGAAACCGUUCAGCUGCACAACCUGUGGUACAAAGAUGGCUCGGUACGAUCAGUUAAUUGGUCAUAUGAGAUGCCAUUCAGGAGAAAAACCCUUCAGCUGUUCAGUUUGUAAAAAAAAAUUCAGAUUGAGCGGAGAUGUCGCGUCACACAUGAGAGUCCACACUGGGGAGACACCUUACAGGUGCUCACUGUGUGGGAGACGAUUCAGGCAGAGUUCGUCGCUGCGCUCCCACUUAAAAUCUCACAACGAAGAGAGACCGCUCGGCUGCUCGGUUUGUAGCAGAAGGUUUCAUCGGAGAACAACGUUAGUGAGUCACAUGCGGACGCACACUGGAGAGAAACCUUACCGCUGCACAGUGUGCGGUACAGGAUUCAGUCAGGCUGGAGCCCUGAAGCGACAUGAAAGAAUCCACUCUGGAGAGAAACCUUACUGCUGCACAGUCUGCGGUAAAGGAUUCAGUCAAGCGGGAGCCCUGAAACGACAUGAAAGAAUCCACACUAGAGAGAAGCCCUACAGUUGUGGCAAAUGUGGGGAAAGAUUUAGACAACAGACACAUGUCACAAAUCACAAAUGUGUUGCUCAGAAUCGCAGCAGCUCGUGAAGUUGGACCUGUUGUGUGUCACUCCAGGAAGAAGGAGAGUGUUUCCUGAAAUCAUGAAUCCUCCCCAGCUGCAAUUUUCCCCUCACAUUGUUGUGAUUAUCUGAGGAGGCCUGAUGACACCUCUCUGCCAAUUAGGAAGGACUUCAGCCCCCGUGUGCAGAGAGGAGGACGUUUCUUUCCACUUCUUACAGACAAAAUGCUAGAAAUUGGAAAACAAAUGCACAUACAGGGACACACUCAACUGUUGAUGCUCUUAUUUAACCUCUCGUACAGUUAAGUCCAAAUUAAUGUCUAUUUUUAUUGAAGCAAUUGGUUCCUUCUGAGUGCAUUGUAAGAAAUGGUGUUACAGAAGUUAACGCUAAAUUUCAACAGUUUCUGUCCUGCUUUUAUAUUUUUGCGCUAAUCAUCAUGUCCAACAUGGUUCGUACCGUUUCUCAGUUGUCUUUGCAAAGCCUCCAUUUGUUUCCACAUCAAACAGUAAAUUCUUAUCAUUGCUAACAAGCUUCCUGCACGUCUCCGCUUUUGACCACUCCUCUUUUGUCUUGACGACUUGGAGCAGGGGUGUCAAACAUGUGGCCCGUGGGCCAAAACUGGCCCACAAGAGGGUCCAAUCCGGCACGCAGGACAACUUUGAAAAGUGCAGAAAUUACAGAGAAGACAUUAACUAUGAAGGAGCCUUUUGAGAGGCAGCUGGCAUCGUGAUUGGACGGUACUUUGGUCUGAUCCAAUCCAGCUUCAGCUUCAGAGACGGCAGGUGGGACGAGUCAACGGAGGCCGAGUGGACGAAGGCAUGAAGCUGAGUACAAUCCAGAAAACAACAGAGGAGAGCAGCGGCCCAGGGCCAGAACAAACAGAGUAGCAUAGUAUGUCUCUAGAAAACAUCAUAGUAUAGCCUUUUGGUUCAAAAAACGCCAUCAUAUGCCUACCGACCGUAUGGAUUGGGAUGAAAACUCGUCACAUUCUUCUCAGUGCCCAGCCACAUCAGCAAGGGUGAAGCUCGAGGAGCCCAGCAGCGAGAAGGUCGAGCUGAUGUUGGGGUUGAAAACAUCCAGGCCCAAAAUGCCCAUCGAGCUCUGUUCCUCCGUUUGCAGCGACGAUGCAGUCAUGGCUCAUCAUCACAGCGAUGAUGAACGCGACGAGGACGGCGGUAAUCGCAGCCCCGGCUCUGUUUGCGCACAUGUGGGGGCAUCACAAAAGGACGUCCGGUGUGGAGAGGACGA